CCGCGUAUGCAGGGGAAUCCGUAUGACGGAUUGAGAUGGGCGUGGACGUCCGAACCCUUUGAACCUGAUGGUUGACACCAGCGUAGGGAGGCAUGGCCAUAUGGCUG
rnacentral:ncRNA from 2 species